GUUAAGGUGGCAGAGCCCGGUAAUUGCAUGAGACUUAAGCCCUUAUCACCAGAGGUUCAACUCCUCUCCUUAACA
rnacentral:tRNA from 1 species